rnacentral:siRNA from 1 species
CUGUCGACCAAACCCGUCCUACC